CAGGAAACUGCAUCUCAGGGUGGUGUGUUUUCAUACUUUUCAUACUUUGAUAAUAAAUUCUUGAAAUUUUAAUGUGACGCAAUCAAGAAGUCAGAAGGAAGUAAUUUUCAAAUGAGCCAAGGCCGAAAGAUUUAUGGAUCUCUUCUCCCCAAGACUGAGUCACCCUUACAAACCUGGAAUGUGGGAGGGAGGCACGGAGCAUCUCCACUUUCCCAGGAUCUCUUCUCCCCAAGACUGAGUCACCCUUACAAACCUGGAAUGUGGGAGGGAGGCACGGAGCAUCUCCACUUUCCCAGGUAAGACAAUAGACAGUAGGUGCAGGGGUAGGCCAUUCGGCCCUUCUAGCCAGCACCACCAUUCACUGUGAUCAUGGCUGAUCAUACACAAUCAGUACCCCGUUCCUGCCCUCUCCCCAUAUCCCUUGACCCCGCUACCUAUAAGAGCUCUAUCUAACUCUCUCUUCAAUGCAUCCAGAGACUUGGCCUCCACUGCCUUCUGGGGCAGAGCAUUCCACAUAUCCACCACUCUCUGGGUGAAAAAGUUUUUCCGCAUCUCUGUUCUACAUGGCCUACCCCUUAUUUUUAAACUGUGGCCUCUAGUUCUGGACUCACCCAUCAGCGGGAACAUGCUUCCUGCCUCCAGCGUGUCCAAUCCCUUAAUAAUCUUAUAUGUUUCAAUCAGAUUCCCUCUCAUCCUUCUAAAUUUCAGUGUAGACAAGCCCAGUCGCUCCAAUCUUUCAACAUAUGACAGUCCUGCCAUUCCGGGAAUUAACCUUGUGAACCUACGCUGCACUCCCUCAAUAGCAAGAAUGUCCUUCCUCAAAUUUGGAGACCAAAACUGCACACAAUACUCCAGGUGGGGUCUCACCAGGGCCCUGUACAGCUGCAGAAGGACCUCUUUACUCCUAUACUCAAUUCCCCUUGUUACAAAAGCCAGUAUGCCAUUAGCUUUCUUCACUGCCUGCUGUACCUGCAUGCUUGCUUUCAUUGACUGAUGUACAAGAACACCUAGAUCUCGUUGUACUUCCCCUUUUCCUAACUUGACUCCAUUUAGAUAGUAAUCUGCCUUCCUGUUCUUGCCACCAGUGGAUAACCUCACAUUUAUCCACAUUAAACUGCAUCUGCCAUACAUUUUUCCACUCACCCAACCUGUCCAAGUCACCCUGCAUUCUCAUAACAUCCUCCUGACAUUUCACACUGCCACCCAGCUUUUUCAGCAAAUUUGCUAAUGUUGCUUUUAAUCCUUCAUCUAAAUCAUUAAUUUAUAUUGUAAACAGCUGCAGUCCCAGCACUGAACCUUGCGGUACCCACUGGUCACAGCCUGCCAUUCCAAAAGGGACCCGUUAAUCGCUACUCUUUGUUUUUGAUCUUGAUUGCCAAUCAACUGCUAUUCAAUUCUUGAUUGCACUAUCCAACUGCCAAAACUGCCAGAAUCUCUCGAGCCAAAGCCGGGCACUUUCCACACCAGGCACCUCCCACGACCAGGUCACUCCACAACAGCUCUCCCUCCUAAUAAUAUGUCCAAUAGUCCAUCCUCUCGGCCCUAUUCUAACAACUUUCUACAGGAACUGCACUGUGUGGGAUGGAAGCUGCUAAGCUUCCUUGGGGUCUGCACAACUCCACAGGGAAUAGUAAAGAUCACAAAAUGUUUGAGAUCUGGGUUUGAGAAUCCCCAUCACCCAUCCGGCAAUCUCUCUGACUGACCACCCACCCCACAACCUCUCUGACCCACCACCCACCCCACAAUCUAACUGACCCACCACCCAUCCCACAAUCUCUCUCUGACCCACCACCCACCCCACAAUCUCUCUGACCCACCAGCCAUCCCACAAUCUCUCUGUGACCCACCACCCAUCCCAGAAUCUCUCUGUAACCAACCAACCACUCCACAAUCUCUCUGACCCACCACCCAUCCUGCAAUCUCUCUGACCCACCACACAUCCCACAAUCUCUCUCUGACCCACCACCCAUCCCACAAUCUCUAUGACCCACGACCCAUCCCAAAAUCUCUCUGACCCACCACACAUCCCACAAUCUCUAUGACCCACGACCCAUCCCACAAUCUCUAUGACCCACGACCCAUCCCACAAUCUCUCUCUGACCCACCACCCACCCCACAAUCUCUCUGUCCCACCACCCAUCCCACAAUCUCUCUCUGACCCACCACCCAUCCCACAAUCUCUCUGUAACCCACCACCCAUCCCAGAAUCUCUCUCUGACCCACCACCCAUCCCACAAUCUCUCUCUGACCCACCACCCAUCCCACAAUCUCUCUGACCCACCACCCAUCCCACAAUCUGACCCUCCAGCCAUCCCAGAAUCUCUCUGUAACCAACCACCCACCCCACAUUCUCUCUGACCCACCACCCAUCCCAUAAUCUCUCUGACCCACCAUCCACCCCACAAUCUCUCUUUUACCCACCACCCAUCCCACAAUCUCUCUCUGACUCACCACCCAUCCCACAAUCUCUCUGACCCUCCAGCCAUCCCAGAAUCUCUCUGUAACCAACCACCCACCCCACAUUCUUUCUGACCCACCACCCAUCCCACAAUCUCUCUGUAACCCACCACCCAUCCCACAAUCUCUCUGACCCUCCACCCAUCCCACAAUCUCUAACCCUCCACCCAUCCCACAAUCUCUGACCCUCCACCCAUCCCACAAUCUGACCCUCCAGCCAUCCCAGAAUCUCUCUGUAACCAACCACUCACCCCACAUUCUCUCUGACCCACCACCCAUCCCAUAAUCUCUCUGACCCACCAUCCACCCCACAAUCUCUCUUUUACCCACCACCCAUCCCACAAUCACUCUCUGACUCACCACCCAUCCCACAAUCUCUCUGACCCUCCAGCCAUCCCAGAAUCUCUCUGUAACCAACCACCCACCCCACAUUCUCUCUGACCCACCACCCAUCCCACAAUCUCUCUGUAACCCACCAACCACCCCACAAUCUCUCUGACCUACCACCCAUCCCACAAUCUCUCUGUAACCCACCACCCAUCCCACAAUCUCUCUGACCCACCUCCCAUCCACAAUCUCUCUGUAACCCACCACCCAUCCCACAAUCUCUCUGUAACCCACCACCCAUCCCACAAUCUCUCUGACCCACCACCCAUCCCACAAUCUCUAUGACCCACGACCCAUCCCACAAUCUCUAUGACCCACGACCCAUCCCACAAUCUCUGACCCUCCAACUAUCCCAGAAUCUCUCUGCAACCAACCACCCACCCCACAUUCUCACUGACCCACCAUCCAUCCCACAAUCUCUCUCUGACCCACUACCCAUCCCACAAUAUCUCUGACCCACCACCCAUCCCACAAUCUCUGACCCACCACCCAUCCCACAAUCUCUCUGUAACCAACCACCCACCCCACAUUCUCUCUGACCCACCACCCACCUCACAAUCUCUCUGACCUACCACCCAUCCCACAAUGUCUCUGACCCACCACCCAUCCCACAAUCUCUCUUUUACCCACCACCCAUCCCACAAUCUCUCUCUGACUCACCACCCAUCCCACAAUCUCUCUGACCCUCCAGCCAUCCCAGAAUCUCUCUGUAACCAACCACCCACCCCACAUUCUCUCUGAGCCACCACCCAUCCCACAAUCUCUCUGUAACCCACCACCCACCCCACAAUCUCUCUGACCUACCACCCAUCCCACAAUCUCUCUGUAACCCACCACCCAUCCCACAAUCUCUCUGACCCACCACCCAUCCCACAAUCUCUGACCCACCACCCAUCCCACAAUCUCUCUGUAACCAACCACCCACCCCACAUUCUCUCUGACCCACCACCCACCUCACAAUCUCUCUGACCUACCACCCAUCCCACAAUGUCUCUGACCCACCACCCAUCCCACAAUCUCUCUGACCCACCACCCACCCCACAAUCUCUCUUUUACCCACCACCCAUCCCAUAAUCUCUCUGACCCACCACCCACCCCACAAUCUCUCUUUUACCCACCACUCAUCGCACAAUCUCUCUAACCCACCACCCAUCCCACAAUCUCUCUCUGACUCACCACCAAUCCCACAAUCUCUCUGUAACCCACCACCCAUCCCACGCUCUGACCCACCACCCAUCCCACAAUCUCUCUUUUACCCACCACCCAUCCCACAAUCUCUCUCUGACUCACCACCCAUCCCACAAUCUCUCUGACCCUCCAGCCAUCCCAGAAUCUCUCUGUAACCAACCACCCACCCCACAUUCUCUCUGACCCACCACCCAUCCCACAAUCUCUCUGUAACCCACCACCCACCCCACAAUCUCUCUGACCUACCACCCAUCCCACAAUCUCUCUGUAACCCACCACCCAUCCCACAAUCUCUCUGACCCACCACCCAUCCCACAAUCUCUGACCCACCACCCAUCCCACAAUCUCUCUGUAACCAACCACCCACCCCACAUUCUCUCUGACCCACCACCCACCUCACAAUCUCUCUGACCUACCACCCAUCCCACAAUGUCUCUGACCCACCACCCAUCCCACAAUCUCUCUGACCCACCACCCACCCCACAAUCUCUCUUUUACCCACCACCCAUCCCAUAAUCUCUCUGACCCACCACCCACCCCACAAUCUCUCUUUUACCCACCACUCAUCGCACAAUCUCUCUAACCCACCACCCAUCCCACAAUCUCUCUCUGACUCACCACCAAUCCCACAAUCUCUCUGUAACCCACCACCCAUCCCACAAUCUCGCUCUGACCCACCACCCAUCCCACAAUCUCUCUGUAACCCACCACUCAUCCCACAAUCUCUCUAACCCACCACCCAUCCCACAAUCUCUCUCUGACUCACCACCAAUCCCACAAUCUCUCUGUAACCCACCACCCCCAUCCCACAAUCUCUCUAACCCACCACCCAUCCCACAAUCUCUCUCUGACCCAUCACCCAUCCCACAAUCUCUAUGACCCAUCACCCAUCCCACAAUCUCGCUCUGACCCAUCACCCAUCCCACAAUCUCUCUCUGACCCACCACCCACCCCACAAUCUCUCUGUAACCCACCACCCAUCCCACAAUCUCUCUCUGACCCACCCCCCACCCCACAAUCUCUCUGACCCUCCACCCAUCCCAGAAUCUCUCUGUAACCAACCACCCACCCCACAUUCUCUCUGACCCACCACCCAUCCCACAAUCUCUAUGACCCAUGACCCAUCCCACAAUCUCUGACCCUCCAACUAUCCCAGAAUCUCUCUGACUCACCACCCAUCCCGCAAUCUCUCUUACCCACCACCCAUCCCACAAUCUCUCUCUGACCCACCACCCAUCCCACAAUUUCUCUCUGACCCACCACCCAUCCCACAAUCUCUCUGUUUCCCACCACCCAUCCCACAAUCUCCCUGUAACCCACCACCCAUCCCACAAUCUCUAUGACCCAUGACCCAUCCCACAAUCUCUGACCCUCCAACUAUCCCAGAAUCUCUCUGACCCACCUCCCAUCCCACAAUCUCUCUCUGACCCAUCACCCAGCCCACAAUCACUCUUACCUACCACCCAUCCCACAAUCUCUCUCUGACCCACCACCCAUCCCACAAUCUCUGACCCUCCAACUAUCCCAGAAUCUGUCUGUAACCAACCACCCACCCCACAUUCUCUCUGACCCACCCCCCACCCCACAA